AUGUCCCUCGCCACGAUCGUUCUUGUGAUCGCAUACUUCCGCCUAUGCUCCGCGUCGAACCAUAUUGCGGGCUCAUCUCUGCUCUCCGUCUCGCUCAUUCUCAUCUACGGUGCUGGCGAAUGCCCCUCCGCGCAUGAUGCCCCGACCAUCAGCAUGAUCGUCGAGGUCAGCGCAGCGAGUGCCAUCUCCUACUCACGGGCCCUCAAGCCCUCGCCCCGCGGGCAAGGUCACGAUGGAGAGGCGGGCGGGGAAGCCGGCGGCCGAGAUUGCACGGGUGACGAGGAGAAGGUGAAUAGAGAGAACGAGGAGCUAAGGAAGGAGGUGGAGGAGCUCUGGGCGACAGUGAGGCAGAGGAGAGACAACGAUGACGACCUUGCCUUCGUGGGCCCCCGACGAGAUGCUCUUCGUUGA
rnacentral:rRNA from 1 species